rnacentral:rRNA from 1 species
GGGUUGUGAGGUUAAGCGACUAAGCGUACACGGUGGAUGCCCUGGCAGUCAGAGGCGAUGAAGGACGUGCUAAUCUGCGAAAAGCGUCGGUAAGGUGAUAUGAACCGUUAUAGCCGGCGAUGUCCGAAUGGGGAAACCCAGUGCAAUUCGUUGCACUAUCGUUAACUGAAUACAUAGGUUAACGAGGCGAACCGGGGGAACUGAAACAUCUAAGUACCCCGAGGAAAAGAAAUCAACCGAGAUUCCCCCAGUAGCGGCGAGCGAACGGGGAGCAGCCCAGAGUCUGAAUCAGCUUGUGUGUUAGUGGAACGGUCUGGAAAGUCCGACGGUACAGGGUGAUAGUCCCGUACACCAAAAUGCACAGGCUGUGAACUCGAAGAGUAGGGCGGGACACGUGGUAUCCUGUCUGAAUAUGGGGGGACCAUCCUCCAAGGCUAAAUACUCCUGACUGACCGAUAGUGAACCAGUACCGUGAGGGAAAGGCGAAAAGAACCCCGGCGAGGGGAGUGAAAAAGAACCUGAAACCGUGUACGUACAAGCAGUGGGAGCACCUUCGGGUGUGACUGCGUACCUUUUGUAUAAUGGGUCAGCGACUUAUAUUCUGUAGCAAGGUUAACCGUAUAGGGAGCCGCAGGGAAACCGAGUCUUAACUGGGCGUUAAGUUGCAGGGUAUAGACCCGAAACCCGGUGAUCUAGCCAUGGGCAGGUUGAAGGUUGGGUAACACUAACUGGAGGACCGAACCGACUAAUGUUGAAAAAUUAGCGGAUGACUUGUGGCUGGGGGUGAAAGGCCAAUCAAACCGGGAGAUAGCUGGUUCUCCCCGAAAGCUAUUUAGGUAGCGCCUCGUGAAUUCAUCUUCGGGGGUAGAGCACUGUUUCGGCUAGGGGGUCAUCCCGACUUACCAACCCGAUGCAAACUACGAAUACCGAAGAAUGUUAUCACGGGAGACACACGGCGGGUGCUAACGUCCGUCGUGAAGAGGGAAACAACCCAGACCGCCAGCUAAGGUCCCAAAGUCAUGGUUAAGUGGGAAACGAUGUGGGAAGGCACAGACAGCCAGGAUGUUGGCUUAGAAGCAGCCAUCAUUUAAAGAAAGCGUAAUAGCUCACUGGUCGAGUCGGCCUGCGCGGAAGAUGUAACGGGGCUAAACCAUGCACCGAAGCUGCGGCAGCGACACUAUGUGUUGUUGGGUAGGGGAGCGUUCUGUAAGCCUGCGAAGGUGUGCUGUGAGGCAUGCUGGAGGUAUCAGAAGUGCGAAUGCUGACAUAAGUAACGAUAAAGCGGGUGAAAAGCCCGCUCGCCGGAAGACCAAGGGUUCCUGUCCAACGUUAAUCGGGGCAGGGUGAGUCGACCCCUAAGGCGAGGCCGAAAGGCGUAGUCGAUGGGAAACAGGUUAAUAUUCCUGUACUUGGUGUUACUGCGAAGGGGGGACGGAGAAGGCUAUGUUAGCCGGGCGACGGUUGUCCCGGUUUAAGCAUGUAGGCUGAUUGUCCAGGCAAAUCCGGAUAAUCAAGGCUGAGGUGUGAUGACGAGGCACUACGGUGCUGAAGUAACAAAUGCCCUGCUUCCAGGAAAAGCCUCUAAGCAUCAGGUAACAUUAAAUCGUACCCCAAACCGACACAGGUGGUCAGGUAGAGAAUACCAAGGCGCUUGAGAGAACUCGGGUGAAGGAACUAGGCAAAAUGGUGCCGUAACUUCGGGAGAAGGCACGCUGGUGUGUAGGUGAAGCCCCUGCGGGUGGAGCUGAGACCAGUCGAAGAUACCAGCUGGCUGCAACUGUUUAUUAAAAACACAGCACUGUGCAAACACGAAAGUGGACGUAUACGGUGUGACGCCUGCCCGGUGCCGGAAGGUUAAUUGAUGGGGUUAUCCGUAAGGAGAAGCUCUUGAUCGAAGCCCCGGUAAACGGCGGCCGUAACUAUAACGGUCCUAAGGUAGCGAAAUUCCUUGUCGGGUAAGUUCCGACCUGCACGAAUGGCGUAAUGAUGGCGGGCUGUCUCCACCCGAGACUCAGUGAAAUUGAACUCGCUGUGAAGAUGCAGUGUACCCGCGGCAAGACGGAAAGACCCCGUGAACCUUUACUAUAGCUUGACACUGAACAUUGAGCCUUGAUGUGUAGGAUAGGUGGGAGGCUUUGAAGCGUGGACGCCAGUCUGCGUGGAGCCAACCUUGAAAUACCACCCUUUAAUGUUUGAUGUUCUAACGUUGGCCCCUGACCGGGGUUGCGGACAGUGUCUGGUGGGUAGUUUGACUGGGGCGGUCUCCUCCCAAAGCGUAACGGAGGAGCACGAAGGUUAGCUAAUCCUGGUCGGACAUCAGGAGGUUAGUGCAAUGGCAUAAGCUAGCUUGACUGCGAGCGUGACGGCGCGAGCAGGUGCGAAAGCAGGUCAUAGUGAUCCGGUGGUUCUGAAUGGAAGGGCCAUCGCUCAACGGAUAAAAGGUACUCCGGGGAUAACAGGCUGAUACCGCCCAAGAGUUCAUAUCGACGGCGGUGUUUGGCACCUCGAUGUCGGCUCAUCACAUCCUGGGGCUGAAGUAGGUCCCAAGGGUAUGGCUGUUCGCCAUUUAAAGUGGUACGCGAGCUGGGUUUAGAACGUCGUGAGACAGUUCGGUCCCUAUCUGCCGUGGGCGCUGGAGAAUUGAGGGGGGCUGCUCCUAGUACGAGAGGACCGGAGUGGACGCAUCACUGGUGUUCGGGUUGUCAUGCCAAUGGCACUGCCCGGUAGCUAAAUGCGGAAGAGAUAAGUGCUGAAAGCAUCUAAGCACGAAACUUGCCCCGAGAUGAGUUCUCCCUGAGACUUUAAGUCUCCUGAAGGAACGUUAAAGACGAUGACGUUGAUAGGCCGGGUGUGUAAGCGCAGCGAUGCGUUGAGCUAACCGGUACUAAUGAACCGUGAGGCUUAACCUUACAACGCCGAAG